AAAGGCUAGACCAAAAUCUGCACUAGCUAAAUUUGUACUAUCUAAAUUUGUUCCAAGUUUCUAGGACUAGCUAAAUUUGUACUACCUAGGAUCACGAUGCAUGUUGUAUUAGUAGAAAAUCUGCAUUUGCAAAAUCUAUUCAAAGUGUGUCGAAACACCCCCGAACUCCUUGAAUCCCAAAUCGAACUUCCCAAAAUAUCCCAAAACAUUGUAUAAACCUACUGAAAGUUUCAAAUCAAGGAAUGGGGUACUAAUACUUAAAACGAGG
rnacentral:lncRNA from 1 species